GGGCAGCCUCAGCGUCAUUUUGGAAUUGCAAAAGGAGAGACGUGGCCGCCGAUGCUCUCCAGCUGCAAAGGCACCGUACCCAAAAACCUUUCCCCUAGAAGACAAACACCUUUGAGACCACGCACCCUCUGCGCGAGGCUCUGGGGAGACGGGGAGGCUUGGGUGCAGGAUCGUGUAGCAUGCUGGUGUUAAGUUCAUUCUUGCUGCAAGAGAAGGCCAUUCUACUUCCUGACCCCCAAAGCAAGAUCUCAACAGUAUGUACCCAACUGAAGCAAGUGCUUAUGUCCACAAGACCUGUACAAGGAUAUCCACCAUAUCUUUAUUCAUUACAGCCCAAUCAUGGAGACAACCCAAAGUCC